rnacentral:RNase_P_RNA from 1 species
CUAUCGGUGUUUAAUUAUACUGAGGAAAGUCUGCCCAUCAAUGCUCUUCGGAGUUGAAAGUGCCACUCAAUGAGAUCCUUAACAGGAUGGCAACCACUCAGAAACGAUACCACCUUGGAAAUGGGAUGAUAUGGCGAAGUUUCUUGCGAAAGAAAUGAGUUCCCAUUGACGUCUUUCAAGGAAAGGAUGAAACGGUGAGCCCUGGCUGAUGCAAGUACAGAAUGUACGCUAAGUAGAAUGUCAAUGCACCUGUUCGUUGUUUAAUCCAGCGAAGGUGAACAGAAGGCAGCUUACAUUCCCUCUAC